AUUGAACGCUGGCGGCAGGCUUAACACAUGCAAGUCGAGCGAGCGGCGGACGGGUGAGUAAUGUCUGGGCAACUGCCUGCUGUAGGGGGAUAACUACUGGAAACGGUAGCUAAUACCGCAUACCAUCAGAUGUGCCCAGAUGGGAUUAGCUAGUAGGUGGGGUAAUGGCUCACCUAGGAGACGAUACCUAGCUGGUCUGAGAGGAGGACGAGCCACACUGGAACGGAGACACGGUCCAGACGCCUACGGGAGGCAGCAGUGGGGAAUAUUGGACAAUGGGCGCAAGCCUGAUGCAGCCAGGCCGCGUGUGUGAAGAAGGCCUUCGGGUUGUAAAGCACUUUCAGCGAGGAGGCGGUACUCGCAGAAGAAGCACCGGCUAACUACGUGCCAGCAGCCGCGGUAAUUC
rnacentral:rRNA from 1 species